UACGUAGGGGGCAAGCGUUGUCCGGAUUUAUUGGGCUUAAAGGGUGCGUAGGCGGCCUUGUAAGUCAGUGCUGAAAUAUCCCGGUUUAACCGGGAGGGUGGCAUUGAUACUGCAGGGCUUGAGUAAAGUUGAGGUUGGCGGAAUUGACGGUGUAGCGGUGAAAUGCUUAGAUAUCGUCAAGAACACCGAUAGUGAAGACAGCUAACUAAGCUUUAACUGACGCUGAGGCACGAAAGCGCGGGGAUCAAACAGG
rnacentral:rRNA from 1 species